rnacentral:rRNA from 1 species
AGCGAACGCUGGCGGCAGGCCUAACACAUGCAAGUCGAACGAACCUUUCGGGGUUAGUGGCGGACGGGUGAGUAACACGUGGGAACGUGCCUUUAAGCUCGGAAUCACUCAGGGAAACUUGUGCUAAUACCGCAUGUGCCCUUCGGGGGUAAGAUUUAUCGCCUUUAGAGCGGCCCGCGUCUGAUUAGCUAGUUGGUUGAGGUAAUGGCACACCACGGCGACGAUCAGUAGCUGGUCUGAGAGGAUGAUCCGCCACAUUGGGACUGAGACACGGCCCAAACUCCUACGGGAGGGAGCAGUGGGGAAUCUUGCGCAAUGGGCGAAAGCCUGACGCAGCCAUGCCGCGUGAAUGAGGAAGGUCUUAGGAUUGUAAAAUUCUUUCACCGGGGACGAUAAUGACGGUACCCGGAGAAGAAGCCCCGGCUAACUUCGUG